rnacentral:lncRNA from 1 species
CAGCCAUGGUGGCCUCAAUGUCCCCUCAAUGAUCCUGGUGGUGGCCUUGAUGUCCCCNCCAGCUCCACCAAGAUCCCUCCUGGCUCCACCAGGCCCCACUUGGAUCUACCAGAUCCCACCUGGCUCCACCAGAUCCCACCUGGACCUUCCAGAUUUCACACAGAUUCUUCAGAUCCCUCCUGGCUCCACCAGAUCCCACCUGGACCUUCCAGACUCCAUCAGGAUCCUCCAGAUCCCUCCUGGCUCCACCAGAUCCCUUUUGGAUUCACCAGAUCCCCUCUGGCNGGGAUCCGAUGGGAUCCAUGAGCUGGGAUUGAACCCUGAUCCAGCCCAAACCCAGCCAGGAUCCACCAGGAUUGAACCCAGAGCCCGCAGGGCCGCGGGCAGUGCUGCAGCAACUGAGGGAUCCAUGGGAUCCAUGAGCUGGGAUCCAGCCCAAAUCCAGCUGGGAUUGAACCCAGAUCCAGCCCAAAUCCA